rnacentral:misc_RNA from 1 species
GUAGGUGAACCUGCGGAAGGAUCAUUAACAAAAUCAAUGUAUGAAUUAUGUGUCAUAGAUGUGAGAAUUUAUUGUAUUUUGUACAAUAAAUACUCACACUCUUAUUUACGAUUAUCAUCAUUUAUUGAUAAACAAUUAAUAUAAACCAACUUUAAACAAUGGAUCUCUAGGCUCUUGCAUCGAUGAAGAACGCAGCAUCUGACUGACUUCAGUAC